CACCGGGCGAGGAGCUCAAGCCCCGCCCCCCGGGGUCCUCCAGCCCCCACCUCGCCCCUCUCUAUGGUCCCUCUCUAUGGUCUCGGGGCCCACAACUCUAUGGUUAAGGCCCCCCCGACUCUAUGGUGCCCUCAACCCGGAAGUCCUCCCUAUCCAGCCCGGAGGCCUCUCUAUGGUCGCGGCCCCUACGUCACUCCGGUACCGGCCGCGCCUCUCUAUGGUCCCACCGGUCCCGGGCUCCUCCAGCCCCCCCUCCCUCGUCUCUAUGAUCCCUGCGCCCCUCUAGGCCGCCCCCCAUCGUCUCUAUGAUCCCCGGGCCCCUCUAGGCCCCCUCCCUCAACUCUAUGAUCCCGGUACCGGGCCCCUCUAGCCCGCCCCCCAUCGUCUCUAUGAUCCCCGGGCCCGGGCCCCUCUGCCCUCUCCCCCCGGCCCCUCUCUAUGACCCCGGGGGCGGCCCCCGGGCCCUCACCCGGCUCCUUCGGCCUCUCCCGGGCUCUCCCAGCACUUCCGCCAAUGCAGUGACGUCACCGGGUGCUUGGUCACGUGACGAGGGGGGGCCGGUACCGCGACCCCGCCCUCCCGGAAGUCAAUAUUGGCCCCCCUCCUACGUCACUUCCUUUCCGUGGGGAGAGACGAGUUCGGCCAGAGCGGCACUUCCGGCCUCCACAGGGGCCUCUGGAGGACUGGGGAACUGGGAGGACUGGGAGGAUACUGGGAUAUACUGGGACAGACUGGGAGGGCGCUGGGACCGACUGGGCAGUGACUGGGAUAUACUGGGUUGUACUGGGCGCAGAAAAAUCAGCGCACAUCGCACCCACUGGGGCGAACUGGGCCAUACUGGGAGCACUGGGAGAGGGAACUGGGGUUACUGGGUGUGCUGAGAUGGGUAACUGGGCAUACUGGGAGCUCUGGGAGAGGGAACUGGGCGUACUGGGAGCUCUGGGAGAGGGAACUGGGCAUACUGGGAGCUCUGGGAGAGGGAACUGGGGUUACUGGGUGUGCUGAGAUGGGUAACUGGGCAUACUGGGAGCCCUUAGACAGGGAACUGGGCGUACUGGGAACUCCGGGAGAGGGUACUGGGCAUAAUGGGUGUGCUGAGAUGGGUAACUGGGCAUACUGGGAGCACUCAGACAGGGAACUGGGCAUACUGGGAGCUCUGGGAGAGGGAACUGGGCAUACUGGGAGCUCUGGGAGAGGAAAUUGGGGUUACUGGGUGUGCUGAGAUGGGGAAAUGGGCAUACUGGGAGCCUUCAGACAGGGAACUGGGCAUACUGGGAGCUCUGGGAGAGGGAACUGGGCAUACUGGGAGUGCUGAGAUGGGGAACUGGGCA
rnacentral:lncRNA from 1 species